rnacentral:rRNA from 1 species
CUCGUAGGCGGUUCGGUAAGUCGGGUGUGAAAACUCUGGGCUCAACCCAGAGAGGCCAUUCGAUACUGCUGUGACUAGAGUGCGGUAGGGGAGCGGGGAAUUUCUGGUGUAGCGGUGAAAUGCGCAGAUAUCAGAAGGAACACCAGUGGCGAAGGCGCCGCUCUGGGCCGUAACUGACGCUGAGGAGCGAAAGCAUGGGUAGCAAACA